GUUUGAUAUACAUGUGAAAUGAUCAGUCGUUAUUAGUGUUGGACAUAUUUAUAUUUAUGGCACGCUAUAAUGUUGGAUCAUUUAAAGGUCGACAUGUGCGUCGUGUUGGGUAAACAAUAAUUCGACUCAAUUCUUCAGUUCGUCGUAAAAAUCAUUACCUCGGGCAAUACAAAAAGCAAAUAUAUAGAUAGAUAAUAGGACUGUUAAUGAACAUAAUGUAUAUAGGAAUAAUGAUAAGCUUGCUUUUAAUUUUCUGAUAACAAAAUAAUUGUUUUGCAUGCCACAAAGCCAGGUUCAACCCACCAUCUUUUCAUAAAAUGCCCUGUACCAAGUCAGGAAAAUGGCCAUUGUUACAUUAUAGUUCGUUUCUAUGUGUGUUACAUUUCGGUGUUAUGUCUGUUGUGUCGUAGUUCUCUUAUAUUUGAUACGUUAUCCUCUGUUUUUGAUUGUUACCCGGAUGUGUUUUUUUCUCUAUCGAUUUAUGAAUUUCGAA
rnacentral:lncRNA from 1 species